UACGUAGGGGGCAAGCGUUGUCCGGAAUCAUUGGGCGUAAAGCGCGUGUAGGCGGCCUUGUAAGUCCGUUCUGAAAGUCCGGGGCUCAACCCCGGGAGGCGGAUGGAUACUGCAAGGCUCGAGUCCGGAAGAGGCAAGUGGAAUUCCCGGUGUAGCGGUGAAAUGCGCAGAUAUCAGGAGGAACACCGGUGGCGAAGGCGGAUCUCUGGGCCUUACCUGACGCUCAGGCACGAAAGCUAGGGGAGCGAACAGG
rnacentral:rRNA from 1 species